AGCAGCGUGGCUCAGUGGAAAGAGCCCGGGCUUGGGAGUCGGGGUCAUGGGUUCGAAUCCUGGCUCUGCCG
rnacentral:tRNA from 1 species